AACAGACGGAAUGAGAGAGAGGGAGACACAUGAAAAAGGAAGCCCACGAUUCCCCUCUUCUCUGCCAGAUCACCACCACCUCUUCCUCCACCUCGCCGCCGGAUCUCCCCCUCCCCUCCUCCCACCUCGCAGCUCUGGCGGCUGCCGGAUCCACCGCAUCCCCCAACCUCGAGGUCCCCAUCAAACCACGACGCCCUCCGAUCCGACUCAAUCCGGUGCUUGCGGCCACCCACGACCCUCCCCCUAGGGUUUCGGGUGCCGGCUCCGGUGCCGAUGGCCAUGGCAUCCUCCUCUCAUUCGGGAGGAACUAGCUGUGUGUGAACUCCACCAUGACGCUGCUGAUGGUGAUGACGUGAUGUGCCGCGGCGUCGACGAGGAUGUGCUAAGGCGGGAAGUUGAAAGGGAAUACAUGACCAUGAAACUCGAUGGCACGGUGCUGGGGGUGGAAGACAUGGCCAACACGGCGCUGUAUGUGGAGUCAGACGAGGCUAGGUAUGUGACCGUGACUUGGACUUCAAAUUACCCCAUGAGUUAAGGCUGAACCUCCUACGUACCUAUGUGUUGGGUAACCACUACUAAACAUCUGAAUUUAUCCAAUGCUACCUCACCCAAAAAGCAUCAAGAUAAUUGACCAACCUAGAACUAUGGAUUUAGUAGCCUCUUUGUUCUGUAGAGUUUUUUUAUUAUCUAUGUCUUGCCUGCUACUUAGAUUUAAUGGUAUGAUAGGGAAGGAUGCAUAAACAGACAACCCCUACAUGCACAACACCAGUCACUGCCUUGAACACACGUCCAGAAUUAAUGCCAAAGAUCGAUAAAUUUGACUCUUGAAUCAUAUGUUCUGAAACAACAGCCAAUUAUGUUGCAGGGAUAUGUCGUAGAAGUGUCGUAUCGGUGCAUGAUACUGCACUAGGGGUGAUAUGCCGGGAUACGCGCGAGAUACGCUUAUCCAUCGUAGCACACUUUAUCAAAUUAAAAUAAAGAAAAAAAUAAGAGAAUACGACUAGGACACGCAGGGAUACAUCAAGGAUAUGUAAGGGCAUGUUAACACUCGAUCUCCAGCCCAUCAGAAGGCCUACUCGAUGGAUAGAUAAACCUAAUCCCUAGAAUCCUUCCUCUCGCUGUAAUCUUGAAGUUGACAAAUCGCAAGACUAGUUUCAGCGCAUCUCCAGACUCCCUUACGUUGCCGCCGCCGACACCUCACAACGCAGUUCAUCUCCAUUCUCUAAGUCUUCUUCAUCCAGAAUCUGUACUGUACGCAAGUAAGCUUCGAUCCAUUGCUUCAAGAUAUCUAUUUUUAAGCAUGUUAUGGAUUAGGAUUUAAGGGAUAAUGAAGUGCAUAUAUUUAUCUUAAUGUUAGGGAAUGUCGUGUAGGUCGAACAACUAAUCCUAUGUUGCCCGAUCUGGGAGUGGGUAUGGUAUAGUAAUGUCGUCCAUGAUCUGGGAGUGGGUAUAAGGUUUUCCCUGUAGUGUUCUGAGGAACACAAGGACUGCAUCAAGGAGUUGGCACAUGAAAAUUAAAAAUACAGCAACUUUUUUAUAUCCAUGAUCAGGGAGCUCUCAAACUGCACAGAGUCAAGAUUAAUGCUAUGCUCCCAUCAAUGAUUCCAGCGGAAGAUAUUUGUAACCUCAAGUGUUAUACAAGGUUACUAUCGCAUUGCUGAAUUUAGAGCAGAACACAACCACCAGCCAGCACCCCCCUCUACCAUGCAUAUGCUGAGAUCUCAGAGGGUGGUUACUGAGGUAGAAAGAACUGAAUGCGACUCCUCAGAAGAUUCCACAACACCGUCAAGUUUUUCUGGUGUCUCUUUAGUACAGCAGGCAGGAGCUUUUAGAAAUGUUAAAUUCUCCCUGCAGAUUACAGAAGUUCCCUUUGUUCAAAGCGUAUGAACAAUAUGCAACCUGGUGAUGCAGGAGGUGUUGUGAAGUACCUACAGAGCAUGCAGUUAAACAAUUCGUCUUUCUUUUAUGCUGUCCAGCUCGACGAGGAUGACAAACUGACCAAUAUUUUCUGGGCCGAUUCCAAAUCUAGAGUUGAUUUCAGCUACUUCAGUGACGUGGUUUGUUUGGACACACCUACAAGAUAAAUGCACAUGGAAGGCCAUUAACUCUCUUCCUUGGAGUGAAUCAUCACAAGCAAAUUUCCAUAUUUGGCGCUGCUUUGCUUUAUGAUGAAUCAGUGGAAUCGUUCAAGUGGUUGUUUGACAUGUUCAAGAUCGCUACAGAUGGAAAGCAGCCAAAAACAAUCUUGACAGAUCAAUCAAUUGCAGCAAGUGCUGCCAUAAGCGCAGUAUGGCCAAGUACAAUUCACUGUCUUUGCCCAUGGCAAGUGUACCAAAAUACUGUCAAACACCUUAAUCACAUCUUCCAAGGCGCUAAAACAUUUGCAAAGGAUUUCAGCAGAUGUGUCUAUGAUUAUGAGGAUGAAGAGGGUUUCUUGGUAGGAUGGAGAACCAUGCUAGAGAAGUAUGAUCUAAGAAACAAUGAAUGGCUUCAUGAGUUCUUCAAAGAUCGAGAUAAAUGGGCAUCAGCGUACAAUCAACAUGUAUUCACCGCAGAUAUAAAAAGUUCAUUGCAGUUAGAAAGUGUUAGCAAUGUCUUGAGAAAGUACCUGAGUCCACAGUUUGAUUUCUUGUCUUUCUUCAAGCACUAUGAAAGAGUUUUGGACGAGUCUUGUCUUGUCUUUUGGCAAUGUUUAUGAAACGUGAAUGAAGUAAGAUGCCAGAAACCAAGUGAAGAAAUUGAUAGAUAUUUUAUUGGCCUAGCUGUUAAAAACUAUAUGUAAAAAAUAUCUUUCUAUAAUUUUAGUAUUAGCAAACUAAUUCUGAUGAUAGUAGUAGAUUCGUAUAAGCCAUUCCAUUGGGUAAGGAUUCAUUCCUUACAGCUGGCUUAUACUUAGGUGCUAAUUAUAGUUUUUGUGUCAAUCCAUUCUCAUUCAUUGUAUACUUUUAAUGAUGACAGAGGUUUUUUAAUAAAUUCUUAGUUGCUACUCAUAUAUGCAGGCCAGCUUCAAGGCUAUGAAGCGAAAGACCAAACAAAGAUUCAGAAGAUAUAUGGAUGAGGCAAUUAUACUUCAAUGAUGGUGAUGGUGUUCUGGUUCAUGAUGAUGAUGACAGAUGCUUUUAGUUUUAGUUAAGUUAGUAGGGAUUUUGUUCCUCUUGGAUCAUGUUGCUCGAUUAAGUUUUUGUUAAGUUGUAGGGAUGUUGAUGGAUGGUUUCAAUUUAAGUUUUGUUGUCAAGAGAAUAUUUACAUUAUGCAUCACAUUUGGAUGAUGUUCCUCCUGUAAUAUCCCCUAUUGUAAUCCAAAAGUUUAUCCAAUAUAUGAUUUCUCUCUUUCGUACA